rnacentral:lncRNA from 1 species
GAUUUCAGGAUAACAGUAGCACUUAUCCCAGAAGGAAAACAAAAUUCAAGAAUAUAACCUCCUAAAUUUACAGUGAAUCAAAACUCAGAUAAAAUCUUGAAUACCUGGUUAGUAGCACCUUCUAGCAACCGUGGUUUUCUACAAACUCUUUUGCUGUUUAUGCUAGUUUAUCCCAAUGUACAAAUUAAGAAUAGGUGGCUCAAGUGUGAAGGAAGCAGGUAUCUACUGAAUAAAAAGAAUAUCACCAUAUGAUUGAUCAAUGUAGACCAUUUUAAAGAACGCAUAGAAUCUAGUUUCUACAUUAGGCUAACUUUCUGUCCCAAUGAUUCUACAUGAUUUGAUUUCUGUAUUCAUUCCUUAAGUGUUUAGAAAAGAAAAAGUUCAUUUGAAAAAGUUGUUGAGAUAUUCUCUGUAGUAAUUUUUGGCCAGAAAUAUUUGUUGCUAUAGGAGAUGAGAGCAUACUAUUGGCACUGAUAUACAGGGUGUGAGAUAAAUUAUUCUUUGGAGUCUUGCCUGUUUUCCAGUGAAAUAAAUUGAGGAGAAUUGAGGCCAGGCUUUCCCAAUUUCUAGUUUUAGACUGAUUUUGUCAUUCCAGCCUAUAUCAGAAGGGGUCAGAGCUAGGUUUUGCUUUGUGUUUGAUACAGCUCCUUAAGUUUCCUGCCUAAGGAAGCAAAGGUGUUAAAUACCCC